rnacentral:other from 1 species
UCCCUACAAUGCGCCCAUACUUAACGAUUGGUAAUUCUUUACUAGUUAAUGAGUUUCGAACUUAAGUAUGAUGUUGUGUUUGCAUAUAGUUCGGCAAGCCCGAACUUGAGUAAUAAAAUUGUUACUCGUUUACUUCCUGUAUAAUUUAAACCUCUUGGUUAAACGCUACUCUUUUUGAGUGGCGUUUUUUU